rnacentral:lncRNA from 1 species
UGAGCUCAUUUAACCAUAAUUAUCUCCUUAAAGACCCUGUCUCCAAAUACAGUCUCACUGAAGGCUUCAACAUAUGGAUUUGAGGUGGACACAAUUCGUCUAUAACAUAUACUGGGCCCUGUGCUAGGUGCUGGGAAUAAUAAUUUCUGAAGACAUUUCAGUCCCUCCCUUAAGGAGCUCCUAAUUUGGGGACUGACCCUGUAGCUGGUAGAACAAUGGGAUAUACCAGGAGCUGAGGGGACCACUGAGAACAGACAUCUACUUUAUGUGGUAAUUUCUGUAGGGCCUUUAUUAUGGUUGUAUCUUGAGCAAGCAAAUUCCACAAAUAUUCUGGGUAAAUAGUGAUGGAGCUGUUUUUUUUGUGUGUAGCAAAGUUGUACACUGAGACCCUUAAAGGUAUAGAGGAGGUGAAUUUCUGUAAAAUCCAAAGCAAGAGUUGGGAAUGAACUUUGGCAAUUGGUACAAAUUAAAUACGGGAUUUUCUUAGGGUUCCAAUGUUUUGACUGUCUUGGACAACCUCUCUCACCCACACUACACCACUUCCUUGACCACAGCUACAGGUUAGAGUGGACAGGAAGCUUUGAAGAGAGGACAGAGAAAAGUCUUUGGGCUGGAAAAUUGGGGAUACAGGUUGUUGAAACAGAAGGAGGCCACCAACUCUUCUCACAUUACUAGCUAUGUAGGAAGAGGGAAAGUCCAAAAGAGAUACAUGAAACACAGGACACUGAAUGGUCCACAGAUACAAAGACUUUUAAACCCUUCACUAGCUGCAUCAAAACCUCCACACUGCAGGCCCAAAAUGUCCUUGAAUUUGGACUUGAGAUUUGCCACAACCCUGCUUGUAAAACUGUUAGUAAAAUAGGAAAGGAAUGAAAGACCUGGGAGUGCAAUUUUGACCUAGAGUCACUAGGGGGCAGACACGGCUUCCCUCUGGUGGGAAGAGAAAGGACUGGCAUUUUUGGGGUGUAGCAUUAGGGUGGGGCAUUCAGUGUUGUACUGGGGAUGGAAUUAGCAGCUGUUAUAAUGGUGUGUUUUGGGGGAAGGGGUAGGUGGCAUGUCAAAGACCUAGUUAUUACGCAGUAAUAAGUGUUGACCUUACACAAUAGACUAGCUGGUGAAAAUCUCUGGAAUAUGAUAAUAAAUAAUAGUUUAAGAUAACUAACUGACAUGUUUGAGUGUGUUUUGUAACAUACAGGAGAAUCCUCUAUUUGCAUGCGCACACACACACACACAUACUCACUCAAACUAAACAUGCUCACUGACUUAAAUACAUUAACACAAUGUGUAAAUAUUGCUUCAGGUUAGAAAAUAUGUUAUGUCCAAAUCAUGUACUCUUUUCAAAAUACACCUGGAGGGGAAAUGCUGCCUGUAUUUCAAAGAGCUUUUAAAUUUCAUUGAGUAGUGGUGUAUCAGCCUAGCCUGCCAAAAUCUAGAAGGUUAUGAGUCAAGUUGAGGAUGCUGAUCACAGGUAACACUGGAUCCAGCCCCCCACCAUCUCUGUCCUCUCUUGGCCCUGCACAAAUCUGUGGCUCAUAGCCAGAAUGUAUUGGUAUUCCUUACUCUCCUGGGUCCUGCUUCCCCUAAAUCUCCCAGCCACUGUAACCUGCUUUCUUCUCAUAUACUUUCUCAUAUACCAAGUCGAGAACCUCUGAGAGCCAUCUUUAUAUUUGGGAUUAUGGUAUAAAAAGAUCAGAAUCAUGAAGCCAGGUUCCCCCAGAGCAUCCUCACCUGCAGGAAGUGAUUGUCAUAAGCAGGGGUAGGGCUAAGCCCUUAGACACUCGUGGGGAAGGGAAGGAAAGCGUGCUCCUCUUGGGCCAGGAACUGGGCUUGAUCCUUUCAUUAUCUCAUUUAAUUCUUUAUACUAAUCUGCAAGUUUUCUGUUAUUUUCUCCAUUUUAUAAAUGAGGAAACUGAGGAUCAGGGAAGCUAAGUACUUUCUAAUGUUCAUGUAGAUCUGGGAUUUGAAUUAGCUUAGUUCUUCUGAAUAGUCCUGGCUCCAGUGCUGCUAUUUUAGCAGCAUCACCUAAGGGCUUCCUCUCUGUUCUCCAGCUUCUCCAUGUAAUUGAGGAUCUCAUAUUGGCAAUGACAAUGUGAUGAUGAUGAUCCUGACAGUAGCUAACUUGAUUGACCACUUACUGUGGGCCAAGCAGUGUGCAAAGCACCAAGCCUUCAUUAUAUUCGAUUCUUACAAUGACUCUGUGCUGAAAUCAGUGUUAGUAUCACCUGAUGCUUAGGAAUGUAAAAACUUGUACAAGGUCACAUAACCAGCAAGUGAUAGUGCCCAGAUUUGAACCUAAGUCUGUCUCUAAGUUCAGAACCACUUUGCUGUUCUGUGCAUCUUGAGAGUCUGAAGUGUGUAGAGACAUAAUCAGGGCUACAGGACUAUUCAGAAGAUCCUUUAAAAAUCUAAAAUAAUACUUAGCAAAAAGGGAACAGUCAUAUCUUUAUGUGGCAUGGUAUAAUGAUGCAGCUGGAAAAAAUGCUUACAUGCUAAAACAGGGAACUUUCUAACUCUGCUUAGAAAAAUAAUCAACUUUGAUUAUUUUCAUUUAUUCUGUUCUUGCAUUGAAAUUCCUGGAGUCUGGUUUUAAUUGCAUAGAAAGUCUGCUUGGGCUGUUUUUAUUUGCCAGGAGCCCCUUUCAUCAUUUCUAUAACCAGUUGAUGGACUUACUAGGAUCUAGGAAAUCUAGUUCAUUGGUGUUUCUGGUUCAGUGAAGGCCUUCAAGUAACCAGGAUGAAGGAAUGAAUGACUAUUUUGCUGUCAACUACUAGCAUCUAGCUAUAGAACAAUGAAAUACAGCAUGAUCAGGGGAAAGUGGAAGUAUGGUUAACAAUGAACUUGAGUUAAUAUAUCUUGACACAUUGAAUCUGAUUCAGUUGCUCUGCUAUUCUUUUGUCUGCAACUUUGGAAAUGAAGUAGAUAAGUCCCUUCUUACCAGCACCUUGAAAAGGAUCAGACAUCAAACCAGAUCUCAGGAACUUGUCAAUACUCCCCAGAGCAAUAUUUUUUAAACCUCAAGAUUUGAAUACUUCUCUAACAAUAUUUCAAAGAAUAAACACAAGGAUGGGUUCAUCAACAAGGGUCAGAUGGGUAUUACUCGAAUAUCUUGGGUGCAAGUCGUUCUGCUAUUUGGUGUGUGAGCAUUGAGCGUGAUUCCAUACGAAGACAGGCAUUGAACCAGGGGAGGAACGUGGCCACUGCCUCAAGGCAACCGGCCAAGGAGGAGGACUCACUUUAAUUCCCCAGGUGGCAGCAGCCAACAAGGAUUUAACAGUCCCCCAGGGCAUGGCAUCUGGAGGAAAGUGUACCUUCCAGAGAUGCAGAGAGAGUCUGGAUUUAACAUUGGGUUUAAGAUUCUGAGAGGAGUGGUGAGGAGUGUGGGAAUGGGAGGCAGUGUAGCACAGGGAUGGGUUAAAACCAGGAAGCCCGUCGCUAAGUCCAGCUCUGCCACUAGGUGGCCAAGGGACCUGGGGCAACUCUUGUCACCAGUACCACCCCCACCCAUCAUCUUUCUCAUCCUUACCCUCAGCCAAUAAGUGUGGUUGGAUGCGGUCAUCUCUAAGUACUGUUAGAUACUAUAUGACUCACAAUUUGACAAUGUCCCUGGCAUUUUCAUCACAUUCUUUAUGAUGAAAGAACUUGAUUACAUUGGAGGGAGUUGCAGAAGGAAUGGUCAAAUGUGGUAUGUUCUAGAGAGAUGCCACUGAUUAUAGCUGUAAUUUCUUUGCUUUUUAACUAUGUUCCAGGCACUGUGCUAAGCCCUUACUAGAUCUCACAUACAUAUACCUCUUUUACUCUACCUUUAAGCAGCUUUUAAUUAUCUUUGUUGAAACAAACCAACUUAAGUCAAAUUCACCUUAGUAAUAGCUAAGGAGGUAGUUGUUAAAAGAUGGAGAAAUGCCAUUAGGAGAAAAGAGGCAAAUGUUUUUGGUUACAGGUUGUCUGAAGAAUAAAGUUAUAAUGGUUCAAGUAAGAUUCGUGUCUUGCAUGAGUCCUUUACAAUGGGCAGCAGAAAUGAGAAAUGGUGAAGACACUGUGUCAGCAGGAAUGCCAAAUGUGGAGGCAAAAGUAACCUCAGUUGCUCUUGAAAGAAUGGAGCUGGAGUCCAAGGUCACAUUGGAGGGGCCCCUGUAAAUGUUCCAUGGCAAGGAGGCUGAGGACACUCUAUGUUUCUAAAGCUUUUAAUCCUGACUUCAGGGAGAUUGGUCUUCUUUACAGAUGUCUCUCACUUACUAUCCUUUGGAAGGAUUCCAAACUCGUGCCUCCAUUUUUGAGAUGGAAAUGUGAAUUUUGGAAUGGUUAAGUGGCUGGUGUGCAGCUCGCCACAGCCCUGUGGAACCAGGAAAGUAGCUCAGUGUCCAGUAAAGGUGCCUCUCCUCCUCAUCCUAUUUCCUUUACAUAAGAGCAGACUCAAGUGUUUAUGUGAUGUCUGCUUAAGGCCAAAGUGAUCAUAGAAUAUGUCUUCUGCACAUUUUGUUCCGUAUUUAUGCAUCUCUGAGGUACCCCAAAUCCAAUCUCAGAGCCAAAUUGGCCAUUGGCCAUUGACUUCAGUUUCCCCAGAGGGAGGGCUGACUAAGCAGCCAAAGGCUCUUAUUCCUAAGGAAUUUAAAUUACAAUCAAUCUCUGGUCCUUAGGGAAGAAACAAGCAAGAGCAAAUCUCACAACGGUGUGAGUUUAUUACUUACAUGAUACAGUUGGGAGCACACUGUCCCAGUGAUUCUUGGCAAGUCAACAAAGUUUUUCUCCAGCAUCAUACUGUUUGGAUUUCAACAGUAUUAAGACUGAAGUCUCAUGUUAUGUGCUUCCUACACAGAGCCUCUUCUGAACUUAUUCUUUGGAGGAUGUCGGUAAGAAGACACCUUAAUCGUAGGAGCACCUGCAGUGCCAGGAAGGAAUAGAGUUGAGAAUAAGUGCCAUCUGAGAUCCAUCCUUGACUUUCCUAUGUGCCUUGUCAGUACCUUGAACCUUUUACAUGGGAGGGAGAUAUUGAAAGUUCCUGAGGGAAAACUCUUGAGUUCUGGGGACAAUUGACCUACCUUCUUCCCUCUAGGAGAUGUCCCCUGACUUUCGCUCUAAAUAAGACAUCUUGAUUUAUACAGGGUGCUCUAGAAUACUUG